rnacentral:rRNA from 1 species
AUUGAACGCUGGCGGCAGGCCUAACACAUGCAAGUCGAACGAGUGGCGGACUGGUGAGUAAUUUAUGGGAAACUGCCUGAUGGAGGGGGAUAACUGCUGUAACCGGUGGCUAAUACCGCAUACCAUCAGAUGUGCUCAGAGGGGUUUAGCUAGUGGGUGGGGUAACGGCUCACCAAGGCGACGAUCCCUAGCUGGCCUGAGAGGAUGACCAGCCACACUGGAACUGAGACACGGUCCAGACUCCUACGGGAGGCAGCAGUGGGGAAUAUUGCACAAUGGGCGCAAGUCUGAUGCAGCAAUGCCGCGUGUAUGAAGAAGGCCUGCGGGUUGUAAAACACUGUCAGCGGAGAGGCGUUACCCAAAGAGGAAGCACCGGCUAACUACGUGCCAGCAGCCGCGGUAAUAC